rnacentral:ncRNA from 1 species
AUUCUAACGCAAUGAAUUGUUUAAAAAAAUGGGUAGAUAGGAACAAAAAACAUUUAGAUUUUAAUAAAUUGAAUUUUGGUGGUUUGCUAAUUUUCCUGUAAAACUUUUAUAAAAUUCAGGGAGACUCGCGCGUCCCCAAGCACACCCAGAAGGUUUUUGACGGCGACAGCCGGCAACAACCUUCUGGUUAGAACUAACAGAUUGAAAACUCUUUCUCGAGUUGGUGGUUGGUGGUGCAUGGCCGUUCUUAGUUGGUGGAGUGAUUUGUCUGGUUUAUUCCGAUAACGAGCGAGACUCUAGCCUGCUAAAUAGUCGACGCAUCUUCGGGUUCGUAUAACUUCUUAGGGGGAUAAGCGGUGUUUAGCCGCACGAGAUUGAGCGAUAACAGGUCUGUGAUGCCCUUUGAUGUCCGGGGCUGCACGCGUUCUACACUGGUGGAGUCAGCGGGUUUUUCCUAUGCCGAAAGGUAUCGGCAAACCGCUGAACUUCUUCCAUGUCCGGGAUAGGGUAUUGUAAUUAUUACCCUUAACGAGGAAUGCCUAGUAAGUGUGAGUCAUCAGCUCACGUUGAUUACGUCCCUGCCCUUUGUACGCAUCGCCCGUCGCUAUCCGGGAUUGAACUGAUUCGAGAAGAGUGGGGACUGUGGCUGCGAGGUUUUACCACUUCACAGUUGCGGAAACCAUUUUUAUCGCAUUGGUUUGAACCGGGUAAAAGUCGUAACUAGGUAGCUGUAGGUGAACCUGCAGCUGGAUCAUCG